rnacentral:lncRNA from 10 species
ACGUGUCUUUUCCAUUGUGAUGUUUCUACCUUAUUGUUCUUCAUAUGUGAAGACUGCCUUUCAUCCCAGUUCUUCCAGAGAGUUCAGAGACAACACACAGUGACUCGGAAAGCCACAUUCCAGCCUGCCUUCACCUUUCCAUGAUUAAUUUCUAGUUGCAGAAGCAAGUUGACCAGAGAAGACAGUAGAAUGAGGAGACCAGACUAGUCAUGCUUCCUAAACUGGGUCCAUGAACUCUUAAAAGUUGGUUUGGGUGGUCUUUGGGGAAUCUGUUUGUCAGUUGAGCUGCUUUCAGCUUAAAAAAUAAAAAGGAAAGCCACAUUUCAAGAAGUGGGAGCCAGACACUGUGGCUCACACCCGUAAUCCCAACUCUCGGGAAGGCCAAGGCAGGAGGAUCUCCAGAGGCCAGGAGUUUUAAGACCAGCCCAGCAGCAUAAUGAAACCCU